UACAUGAACUGCACAUUGUUAUGAUAAUGACUUCUUUUUUUCCUUCCCUUUGAAGUAGCAGUGUAAAUACAAAGGAUAUCACAUUGGUCUUGGAAUGAUACCUCCUUUACUUCAACUCUGUGUACUGUGCAGUAAUCACAAUUGCAUAAGAAGGAAUUAAAGUGCAUUAGAGCUCCACGUUCACUGUUCCUGCUAGCUCAACAAUGGCCAAAGUUAACCCAAAGCAUUAACUUCAAAACAAAUUAGAAGAAAUAUAAAGGAUACUUUACUUGUCCAUCAACCAUGAUGCGCAAGAAGCCAGUCUUCAGGUUCAAGUGUGACAAUGGUGUAGAAUCCAAAUCUACACAAUGGCACUCAGAAAGCAUCAUAGUGGUUUACAAUGGUGGUUAAGAAAAACAACAUUGUUUCUUCAUGUAGUCAUCAUAAAAUAUUACAGCUGACCAGAUGGUGGAGCAAUUACAUUUCCAUAGUACUAAAUGGCUAUUUAGCUUAUCCACUUGUGAACUGUUAAUUAAAAUUGGAAGAGAUAUCAUUCAUAUUCAAAGGGAAGAAAUAACUAUAUCGGACAUGCUUCAACAAAGACUCAAAUUUUAUUCAACCAGAGAUCCAACUCUUUUACCCUCCCACUGACCCCAUGAGGAAACAAACAAAAGAAAAGUCAUUGACAAUAAGGCAGUGGCAUAAACUGAUGAAGAGUAGGAUAUUCAGGGAGCUGAGCAAUCCUGAGAGCACAUGUGCACAACACAUCCUGUUGUUUGCUGCAAACAAGCCGAACCCCUCCAGCUGCAUGGACGGGAAGCUCGGAGCUGAGUGCCCAUGGCUGCACUCCACCCCCAUGCUGUGCCAGCACCCGACCAGGAUGAGAUCACAGUAUAUCCACUGAGCACAAGCACUGCUCUUUUAGAGGAUGGGCCUGGUGCUAAACUUCCCAAACCAUCUCCAGGGCUGUAAUUGGAGGUAAACAAAAUGGUAAGUGAUCAGAUAAGCGAACCUGCCAUUUUCCUAGCUGUGGCAGUUUGUAAAUGCAGAAACAAAGCAAGAGCUCCUUCUCACAUGUCUUUGGCUAGGAGGUAGAAGAUUAUUUCCUGAUGAUUCCUCAGACUUUCCUGGCUCUUGGAUGCCUUCUUCCUAAUGCUGUGGCUGUACUGGUGUGGUUGCAUUAGAAGCAUUCAAAAGCAUGGGCUUCUGAAUGUUAAAC
rnacentral:lncRNA from 1 species